UGCAGAAUCCCGUGAACCAUCGAGUCUUUGAACGCAAGUUGCGCCCCAAGCCUUCUGGCCGAGGGCACGUCUGCCUGGGCGUCACAAAUCGUCGUCCCCCUCAAUUCUUUUGCGGUUAUUGGACGGAAACUGGUCUCCCGUGUGUUACCGCACGCGGUUGGCCAAAAUAUGAGCUAAGGAUGCGUGGAGCGUCCCGACAUGCGGUGGUGAACUCAAGCCUCUUCAUAUAGUCGGUCGCUCCUAUCCGUAAGCUCUCGAUGACCCAAUGUCCUCAAAGCGACCCCAGGUCAGGCGGGAUCACCCGCUGAGUUUAAGCAUAUCAAUAAGCGGAGGAAAAGAAACUAACAAGGAUUCCCUUAGUAACGGCGAGCGAACCGGGAAGAGCCCAGCUUGAAAAUCGGACGUCUUCGGCGUUCGA
rnacentral:rRNA from 1 species